GGGGAAUUAGCUCAGUGGUAGAGCGCUUGCCUAGCACGCGCAAGGCCCUGGGUUCGGUCCCCAGCUCCG
rfam:Rattus norvegicus chromosome 1, whole genome shotgun sequence.